AACUGACCUGCACAAUGUGAAUUUCCUGAAACCCGCGCUCAGAUUGGGCGCAAGUAACAGAGACAGAAGGUGAAGACAGGCAGGUGAAUGUCUGCAGCCAUCUCACUGACACAUUAAUCAGCUUUCCUGCUAACCCAGCAGAAGAUCGCUUUACUCAGACAACGUCUCUUGCAGCUCCUGCGUGGGACAUUUGUAGAGAAGAGGAGCUGAGGAAAUGUGAUCAAAGAGAAAUACACAGUUGAGCCACGGUGGUAGACCCCGUCAGUGGUCACCAGCGAAUCUUGUUCUCCUCCACAUUUGGGCACGUGGAAGGUUACACCUCCUCUCCUUCUUGAAGCUAGCCACGGCCACGUGACUCACUUUGGCCAGCGAGGUGAGGGUGGAAGCCUUCCGCAGGUUUCUUCCCCCCUGAAGCAGAGAUCAUGGAGGAAAAGGUCUACGUGGAGGUGCCACAAGACCAAACCCACUCAGAAUGCUGAACAUUGUGUGGAAGAUAACCCAAUCCAGGAGCAUAACUCAACCAGCAGUAGACCUGCCCUGGGUGAGAAAUAAACUCUGCUGUGUUGAGCCAAUAGUAUUUUGGUAUUAUGGUCCGC
ensembl:lncRNA